rnacentral:lncRNA from 1 species
CCGCACAGCGCAGAGGACCCCAGCAGCGCACUUGUCCCUUUCGCCCUGGCCUUGCCGCGGCGGCGGGGAGAAGAGGGUGGGACGGUCUGACCUCCGCAGCCAAUGAAAGCAGUGAGUUCCUGGUCCGAUCCCCAGCGCGACUCCUCAGUGGUCACCUCCCGGGCAACGGGCCACGGACCCUCGGCACCCCGAGACAAUUGUCAGGCGGAGGAAUGCUGCCAUCUCUAUGAAAAAAAGCCCAUGUAAGCCAGACAAGAUACCAUGGGGAGGAGAAGCAAGUUGCCUCUGUUGACAGCCCCAGAAGCAGAAGCUCACUCCCAGAAGCACAGCUGCUUAGUCAACAAGCAGCUGAUAAUACAUGUCUGAAAGAGCUCAGUUGAGACCAGAAGAAUGGUCCCACUGAGCCCAGCCUAAAUGCCUGACCAUCUCAAUUAUGAUGCUAAUAAGUUUUGGAUGGUUUGUUACACUGUAACAGCUAACUAAUACAUGCACCCAGUGCAGAUAAGAUGCCAGGCUUCAAUGACAGCCUGAUUACUAGUUACCUUCUAAUAGUGGGCACCCUAAAAGUACUAAUUUUUUCCCCCUGAUUUAAAGUUGAAUGUCUUGUAAGAUAAUGUUGAGAAAUGCAGAAAUACAUGUGGACAUGUA